CCAAGGCCCAGGAAGUGUCGCCGAGGGUCGAAAAACCGAAAGACGAUUUCCAAUGAAGGAGCUACAUCUUUGGAUGUGGCAGCGGCAAGUCUAGACCAUCUAAAAACAGCACGCGAAGGCCAAGAACAAAAAAAAGACGUCCUGUACUUUUUUGAACCCACGAUAGUUGGAAUGCUUCUCACGCUGCCUUUAGACGACCAGUUAAACAGAAUGCAUGAGGUGCAAAAUUUGGUUCACCAUAAAGUGAAGGAGGUUAAGGAUCGCUAAGAAUUGGAGUAAUUGGAGUGCAAAUAAAGCCUGAAUUUGCCCCGUUUUCACACAA